rnacentral:lncRNA from 1 species
GGAAAAGUGGCAAAGGAAAAGCCAACAUGAGCGCUUUCGGCUUGCGCGGGCAGAAAGGGUGGGAAAUCAGGCCACGGCGAAAUCUUCUGACUCACAGAUGACCGCUUAGAAUGAAAACUACGGAAGGGAAGUCCUCUGACUCUGCAGUUUCACAGAGAGUCACUGAGUUACCAAAGCAGUUGGGAAACAGAGGCAGAGGACUGCCCCCACUCUGUCCGCAGCAGGGGUAUGGGAGGCAGCUCGGGACACUCCAGGGACCAAGCGGGCAGUGGGCGCCGUCCCCGAGGAACACCCAGCCCAGCGCCCCUGGUUCUGGGCUGGUUGGCUUAUCGAGGCCGGUUGGCCAAAGCAUCAGGAAAGGGAACAUUCUCGGCCGGGUGUUGGAUACCAAAUUAUAAACGCCAGAGCACCUUGUGUAAAGAUGAAUAUCGUUUUGUUACUGCGGGAGGGAAUACACCUACUGCUUUGAAAGGAGUUUAAAAUAUUCAGCAGACAGCACCGCAUUGAAAUUAGUGCAUUGAGCUGCAGACCAAACUAAUUUCUAGAACAGUCUAAAAAGUAAAAACAAAGUUUGGCAAAAAUGACAACUUUGCUUGAGAACAGCUCUGGAAAAGCGAAUCCACUGAGAGCCGUGGGAAUUCUCCGCCAGCUGUGCUUCCCCAACCGAGGAAGAAUCCAACCCGGAAUAUCGUUUCUGGACCCCACCGCGGAGACCCCAGCUGGACCCUCUCCUGAAAACUGCCCGGGGAGGGGGGUGCGGUCUCAGCGCCCUCCACUGCGGGGUCCAAGGCGCAGUAGCGGGGCGCGACCCCAGCGCUCCAAGCCCAGCAUUCUUGGCAGCUCUCCAGGCCCCAGUCAGAGGCACAUUGACCUUGAAGUUGCACUUGACUCGCCCACUCGGGGCUGCCUGGUGGCGCCUGGGUCAGCUUGAAACCCACGCAGCUGAGGGAGCUAGGUGUGGGGUUCACCAUACUGCGCCCCCGCCGGAUUUGGGAGCGCGGGAUCUACUCGGAGGCAGAGAGAUUAGCCCCAGAGGUCAAGCCUUUCGGCGUCGUUUUGUCAUCUGUAUUUUCUCGUCCCCUUCGCCGCCGAGUCCUACAAAGCUCACUUCAGAGAGACUGGGUCCACAUGUGUGGGCUCAUGAGGAGGAGGACAGCGAGGGUGACGACGCUGGGGGACUAGCGCGAGCUGGCGCAUUCCUGGCAGUGAGCCAAGGGCCCCCCGUCUUGCUAGUCUUUCCAAGUUGCUUGGCAAUUCCAAAAAUUUCGACUGUGGGAAAGUUGAAACUUGUUCGUAUAGCGUUCUUUCGAAAAGAUUUUCCUUGUCUGUAUCUAUUUUACAGAAAACAUACUGGUCCUCACUACUGUUUGGGGACGAGUUAGCCUAAAUUUGAACAGACCUUGAAGACAAACCCUGAGCCCCGGGAGGCAGCCUUCUCAGCGCGAGGUGCACACACAAGUCCCCGAGCCCACCGCGAGGGUCUCACCUGGCUCCUGCGUGGUCUUUCCCCACUUUGGCGACUUUGAAGGCCAGGGGGACCGUACAGUGAGCGAAUAACUUAGCGCCUGCAUUAUCACUGCUGAAACCUCAGAGAACAAUGUAGGACAUGCGGGUGCAGGUAGAGCAAAACUAGUGAAAAGAGUUUAUGAGGAAUUCAUACCGCCUCGCCUACUUGGGACAACUCCUUCAUUCAGUUGUCCUCCCUAGGGGGCUGUUAUGCUUAUUUGUGUCAGACCCUUCUUUCCCCUGGAAUCUUAUCAUCACAGAAUAUUAAACAUUUGAAAAAAUUUUAAAGAUUAAACUUGUUCGAGGAAAAAAUGGUAAACACUGUUAGGGAUUGCCUGGCGUGCACAAAUUAAGGAAAGAAAGAAACUGAAAAUUUCAGCGCGGCUUUGGGAAUUUUUAGCUUUGCGAUUUAAAACCCACAGCGCCAUCUCCUGGUAAUGAGGAGAAUAUAGCGAUGGAUGACAAUACUGAAAUGCUGACUAUGAAAUACUCAAAUAUGAGAAACGCCUCAAAAAUUAUUUCAGUGAUAGGUUGAUUAUGAUUACAAAAUAUGAUCUGACAUGGACAUUUAUUAUCAUUAAAAGUUAUCAGACACAAUCCUGGAAGCUAAUUAUUUGUAAAUAGAAGUUUGUAUAUUUAUACAUACAUGUAUUUUAUAGAUUCAGACGCUUAUGCUGUGAAUUUACAAGAUAUGAUUCUAUAAUUUAUCAUAAAUACAUAAUUUUACAAAACAGUUCCCUGUUUUACUUUUUGUGAAUGAUUUUACCAUAUAUGGUAGAAAAAGAAUAAUAGGAUGUGGUGAUCUAUGGAGACAUAAAAUCUUCUAGAUCCUCAUUGUAUUUUACUAGUCAACAUUAAUAAAUACUUUAGCCCCAUUGUCUCAAUAACUUCUCACUUUAUCUAUGUCUUCUCA